rnacentral:pre_miRNA from 1 species
UCACCUGUGGAUCUCAUUAGGAUGCAGGUUCUGAUUGAUUACAGCUGAUGGGGCCUGAGAUUCUGCAUUUUUAACAAAUUCCCAGAUGCUGCUGCU